rnacentral:rRNA from 1 species
GGGUGAGUAAAGUAUAGGAACUUGCCUAGUAUGGGGGAUAACGUGUGGAGACGCACGCUAAUACCGCAUACGCUCUACGGAGGAAAGCGGGGGAUCUUCGGACCUCGUGCUACUAGAUGGGCCUAUAUCAGAUUAGCUAGUUGGUAAGGUAAUGGCUUACCAAGGCGACGAUCUGUAGCUGGUUUGAGAGAAUGAUCAGCCACACUGGGACUGAGACACGGCCCAG